UUUUCUUCAAUGCUAAACUGCCUAGUAAAAUUAAUGCCUGUGGCAUUUAAGGGACAUCGAAGGCAUGAAGAUUAAAUUGGCCAAGGGACAGAAAACCAGGAGCAGCGAUGCAUGGUUAUGGGUGUUGAGCAGGAGGGUGGGACCAAUUUAUGGCUGCACCAGAGAACAGGAACAUACAUUACGUCCUUCUGUGCCACAUCAUUCUGGGCAGGACAGAUUACAGAGUCUGGAACAGUGAACAGGAAACAGACAGACUC